ACUGCGGAGAUCAUUAUCGAGUUUUGAACGGGUUGUAGCUGGCCUCUCACGAGGCAUGUGCACGCCUGGCUCAUCCACUCUUAACCUCUGUGCACUUUAUGUAAGAGAAAAAAAUGGUGGAAGCUUCCAGGAUCUCGCGAGAGGUCUUUGGUUGAACAAGCCGUUUUUCUUUCUUAUGUUUUACUACAAACGCUUCAGUUAUAGAAUGUCAACUGUGUAUAACACAUUUAUAUACAACUUUCAGCAACGGAUCUCUUGGCUCUCGCAUCGAUGAAGAACGCAGCGAAAUGCGAUAAGUAAUGUGAAUUGCAGAAUUCAGUGAAUCAUCGAAUCUUUGAACGCACCUUGCACUCCUUGGUAUUCCGAGGAGUAUGCCUGUUUGAGUCUCAUGGUAUUCUCAACCCCUAAAUUUUUGUAAUGAAGGUUUAGCGGGCUUGGACUUGGAGGUUGUGUCGGCCCUUGUCGGUCGACUCCUCUGAAAUGCAUUAGCGUGAAUCUUACGGAUCGCCUUCAGUGUGAUAAUUAUCUGCGCUGUGGUGUUGAAGUAUUUAUGGUGUUCAUGCUUCGAACCGUCUCCUUGCCGAGACAAUCAUUUGACAAUCUGAGCUCAAAUCAGGUAGGACUACCCGCUGAACUUAAGCAUAUUGUU
rnacentral:rRNA from 1 species